rnacentral:rRNA from 1 species
GACGAACGCUGGCGGCGUGCUUAACACAUGCAAGUCGAACGGUAAGGCCCUUCGGGGUACACGAGUGGCGAACGGGUGAGUAACACGUGGGUGAUCUGCCCUGCACUUCGGGAUAAGCCUGGGAAACUGGGUCUAAUACCGGAUAGGACCACUGCCUGCAUGGGUGGUGGUGGAAAGCUUUUGCGGUGUGGGAUGGGCCCGCGGCCUAUCAGCUUGGUGGUGGGGUGAUGGCCUACCAAGGCGACGACGGGUAGCCGGCCUGAGAGGGUGACCGGCCACACUGGGACUGAGAUACGGCCCAGACUCCUACGGGAGGCAGCAGUGGGGAACAUUGCACAAUGGGCGCAAGCCUGAUGCAGCGACGCCGCGUGAGGGAUGACGGCCUUCGGGUUGUAAACCUCUUUCAGCACCGACGAAGCGCAAGUGACGGUAGGUGCAGAAGAAGGACCGGCCAACUACGUGCCAGCAGCCGCGGUAA